UACGUAGGGUGCAAGCGUUGUCCGGAAUUAUUGGGCGUAAAGAGUUCGUAGGCGGUUGCCUAAGUCUGAUGUUAAAUACUGGAGCUCAACUCCGGCAUGGCAUUGGAAACUGGGCGGCUAGAGUGUGGUAGAGGUCUCGGGAAUUCCAGGUGUAGCGGUGAAAUGCGUAGAUAUCUGGAGGAACACCGGUGGCGAAAGCGCGAGACUGGGCCAUAACUGACGCUGAGGAGCGAAAGCGUGGGGAGCGAACAGG
rnacentral:rRNA from 1 species